rnacentral:rRNA from 1 species
AAUCCAGACUCCUACGGGAGGCAGCAGUGAGGAAUAUUGGUCAAUGGGCGGGAGCCUGAACCAGCCAAGUCGCGUGAAGGAAGAAGGUACUUAGUAUUGUAAACUUCUUUUGUCGGGGAACAAAGGCGGAGACGCGUCUCCGGAUGAGUGUACCCGAAGAAAAAGCAUCGGCUAACUCCGUGCCAGCAGCCGCGGUAAUACGGAGGAUGCGGGCGUUAUCCGGAUUUAUUGGGUUUAAAGGGUGCGUAGGCGGAAUAUCAAGUCAGCGGUAAAAUUUCGGGGCUCAACCCCGUCGUGCCGUUGAAACUGGCGUUCUUGAGUGAGCGAGAAGUAUGCGGAAUGCGUGGUGUAGCGGUGAAAUGCAUAGAUAUCACGCAGAACCCCGAUUGCGAAGGCAGCAUGCCGGCUUCCGACUGACGCUGAAGCACGAAAGCGUGGGGAUCGAACAGGAUUAGAUACCCCGGUAU